rnacentral:misc_RNA from 1 species
GCUGUAUGUUCCCCCGUCUCCCCUUCUCUCGCCCACAUCGCCACCCGUUGCCCAACGAAAAGCGCCCAAUUCUAAUUCUUUCCUGAUAGUGUUCACUUCCCGUCUAUCCCGCUCGCCACCGCCGCCCUCCUCCUCGCUCUCUCAGCGUGUGGGUCUCUGUGUUGCCCAAUUGGAAGCCUACUCCGCGGUGCAGUGUCCCCUAUCUCUCUGUGGGUGGCACCCUCCCCACUCCCCCCCCCUCUCGUCCUCGGCCCCCUCCUCAUACUUCUAUACGCUGUGUCAAGGGGCGACAGACAUGGUUUCCAUGAUCGUCGCUGGCGCCACUGGCGCCAUCGGCCGCACCGUCGUGCAGUAUGCCAUUCAGCAGCCGUCAAUCGACCGCGUUGUGGCGCUGACGCGGUUCAGAAACACCGCUGUGUCGAACUACGAGCAUCUCUUCGGUAUUAUCGUCGCAGGUGAAGCAGGCAACACCGACAGCCGCGGCGAGGGCGCCAACAGCAAGAGGGAAAAGGGUAGGAAGUUUCCCGCUGGCACCGUCACAGCCACGCCCGCGGAGGCUGCCAAGAUCAGGCCUAUUACCAUGGACUGGGAAGAGUUCACGCAGCUGUGGGUGGCGAAGCGCAGCAGCACCUGCGCUGCCGCUAGCGGAGCUGAUAACCGUGCCGCGGGCGCUGCGGCCACUGCCAUCACAGAUCCCAUGGAAAGGUACAGAGGCAUCUUCGGUGGUCACACGUACGCCGCCAUGUGUCUCGGCACCACCCGCAAGGACGCUGGGAGCGCCAAGAGCUUCACUCGGUGCGACUAUGACUACGUGAUGGCCUUCACGGAGGCUGUGCUGGCGUACUCGGCGCCGGCUGGCCUGUCACCAGACAAGACAUUUGUACACCAUAUCGGUGACGGGGGGGUCUCGAAGCAAGUGCACGUGCAGGAAGGCAUGGGCAAGGAGGUCGACGUGCUCGCUGCCAUGAACGACAACGCGGCCCAGUCGUCGGGCACGCUUCGCGUCUUCUGCCAGGUCAGCUCCAGCAACGCCAGCAGCAGCUCAUGGUUCCUUUACAUGAAGACAAAGGGCAUUGCUGAUGAGUCCACGGUGGAGCGGGUGCACCGGCACAACAAGCUCGCCACCGCUGCCGCGGCGCUGUCACCGGUGAAUCUUCUCUUGCUUCAGCCGGGGCUGCUGGAGCGCCAUGGCAAGACCCGAACCACCGAAAUGUUUGCCAAGCUCAUCAUGUCGUCUAUCCCAGUCGAGACCUGCGGAGCCGCCAUCGUGUCGGCAUGCAAGAGCUUGCCGAUCCAGCGCAGCGUGCAACGCGCAGAGGCAACCUCUGCAGCCGAGCUGGCGAAGCACGACGAGGUGGAAGGGGCGCAGGUGGAGAAGGAAAGCAGUACCGUGGCGGCUGGCGUAAGAAAGACGCCGCUGGGCAAGCCAUAUGUGGGGGCCAAGGCCCUGCGCAAGGCUGGCAUACCGUCCAACGAGCCGCUGCCGUACAUUUACGAGGCGAACAACGCGGUGAUCACGGACUUGGCAUCCCGGCUGACGGCCUAAAGUGCAGCGUCAGAGAAAGGAAGGGAAAGGAAAGUCGAGAGAGAUGCAACAGUGCAGUGGCAGAGACACGCAGAAAAUCAAACCGAGUAUUCGUCAGCGCACUCUGCCUGCGCUCUCCUUCUUACCAUCCUGGCGACACAUCAUUCGUGAUGCGCGCUGGCGACGCCCACAAUACAAGCCACCUAUAUUACCUCACCUGCCCCUCCCCUCCCCCCAGCACACACACACACACCAUCUUCUCCAAAGACACCCACACAGAAUCGAGAACACCUUCCCAUGCACAUACGCAUGCGCAAGGAUAGUAUCUGCACAUGAUCUCCCUAUAAAUAUAUAUAUAUAUAUAUAUAUAUGUGUGUGUGUGCUCUGUUUACGAGUUGACCUGUUUCAGCGUUGCCGCGGUGUGCUGCGCAGCGCCCUCUCCCACAGCCCUUCUUCCCCUCCCUUUCUCACACUCUCGCUCUCUCGCUGUUGCGCGCGCGUGGUGUUGUUAGCACUCUUCGUACCCACCCGUCCGCGCACGCAGGCAGAUGUGUGCGUGCGCAAACACCUGUGUACGCACACAGACGCAGACGUGGAGAAACAGCGUGAGGUGCAACACACCAGAUCCCCGGUACCCCUCCCACAUUGCGCGUAUCAGGCAUACGCCAUCGGUCCACGUGAUGGCGCACACUUCUUCUCAUUUGCCACUGCCCUACAACCUGCCUCCAGCCCACCUCCCCUCACCGCCCCCUCCUCCUCUGUGAGCUGCACGCAGCUGCACUGUGCGCGCACGAACGUAAGUGCUCUCUGACCGGGCCUUGUGUGCUUGCUGGCUUGAGUUCCUCUCUCCUUGUUGGGGGUCGUGGUUGAUGAGCGCACCCGCGGCCUCCGCCACACCGUUGUCAAGCGCCGACUCUUUCGCUCUCUCUCUUCAUGUGCUAUCGGCAAUUGGUCGCCACUGCUCCCAAAAGCCACUUCUUCACGUCGCUUCGCCCGUGCGAAGACGUCGCACCCGACGAGCGAGGCGCAGUGCGGCCCGUCGUACGGCGCGCUGUUGUAGGCCAAAGAAGCAGGAAGCAUGAUCCCCUCGCCGCAGCGCACACGCACAGUUUUUACACCGCUCCCCAUCCCGUCCCUCUUCCCCUGACAGACCCCCCUCCCCUCACCCCCCACCCCAGCCCGGUCACAGACUCAUACAGACGUACCUCUACCUCGAAACUGCCUUGCCCCUCUCCAUCUUUCCCUACCCCUCUACCGCUUUAACCGUUGCACCGCGUCCUCCCACGCGCCCACCCCCGCCCGCCGCUCAAG